rnacentral:rRNA from 1 species
CAGUAGCCGCGGGAAAACGAGGGGGGCAAGCGUUGUUCGGAAUUAUUGGGCGUAAAGGGUGCGUAGGCGGUUUGGCAAGUUUGGUGUGAAAUCUUCGGGCUCAACUCGAAGUCUGCAUCGAAAACUGCCGGGCUUGAGUAUGGGAGAGGUGAGUGGAAUUCCUGGUGUAGCGGUGAAAUGCGCAGAUAUCAGGAGGAACACCGGUGGCGAAGGCGGUUCUCUGGCAAUGUUCUGACGCUGAGGAGCGAAAGUGUGGGGAGCGAACAGGAUUAGAUACCCCAGUAGUCCUGUCUCUUAUACA